AUUAUAAAUUAUAAAUUCACUUAAUAUAUCCCUUGGAUAUGGCAAGGAGUCUCUACCGGAAGCCGUAAAUUUCCGACUAUUAGUGGAUUAUUGCAUAUG
rnacentral:ncRNA from 2 species